AUACGUAGGGGGCGAGCGUUGUCCGGAAUGAUUGGGCGUAAAGGGCGCGUAGGCGGCCCGGUAAGUCUGGAGUGAAUGUCCUGUUUUUAAGAUGGGAAUUGCUUUGGAUACUGUCGGGCUUGAGUGCAGGAGAGGUAAGUGGAAUUCCCAGUGUAGCGGUGAAAUGCGUAGAGAUUGGGAGGAACACCAGUGGCGAAGGCGACUUACUGGACUGUAACUGACGCUGAGGCGCGAAAGUGUGGGGAGCAAACAGGAUUAGAUACCCUGGUAGUCCACACUGUAAACGAUGAAUGCUAGGUGUAAGAGGUAUCGACCCCUUUUGUGCCGGAGUCAACACAAUAAGCAUUCCGCCUGGGGAGUACGGCCGCAAGGUUGAAACUCAAAUGAAUUGACGGGG
rnacentral:rRNA from 1 species